UACGAAGGGGGCUAGCGUUGCUCGGAAUCACUGGGCGUAAAGGGCACGUAGGCGGUGAAUCGGGUUGAAAGUGAAAGUCGCCAAAAAGUGGCGGAAUGCUCUCGAAACCAAUUCACUUGAGUGAGACAGAGGAGAGUGGAAUUUCGUGUGUAGGGGUGAAAUCCGUAGAUCUACGAAGGAACGCCAAAAGCGAAGGCAGCUCUCUGGGUCCCUACCGACGCUGGGGUGCGAAAGCAUGGGGGAGCGAACAGG
rnacentral:rRNA from 1 species